CCUACGGGUGGCUGCAGUGGGGAAUAUUGCACAAUGGGGGAAACCCUGAUGCAGCAACGCCGCGUGAGUGAAGAAGUAUUUCGGUAUGUAAAGCUCUAUCAGCAGGGAAGAAGAUGACGGUACCUGAUUAAGAAGCCCCGGCUAACUACGUGCCAGCAGCCGCGGUAAUACGUAGGGGGCAAGCGUUAUCCGGAUUUACUGGGUGUAAAGGGAGCGUAGACGGCAGGACAAGUCUGGAGUGAAAGGCCGGGGCUGAACCCCGGGACUGCUUUGGAAACUGUCUGGCUAGAGUGCAGGAGAGGCAAGCGGAAUUCCUAGUGUAGCGGUGAAAUGCGUAGAUAUUAGGAGGAACACCAGUGGCGAAGGCGGCUUACUGGACAGUAACUGACGUUGAGGCUCGAAAGCGUGGGGAGCAAACAGGAGUAGAUACCCGGGUAGUC
rnacentral:rRNA from 1 species